GAGCGGACGACGGGAGCUUGCUCCCUUAGGUCAGCGGCGGACGGGUGAGUAACACGUGGGUAACCUGCCUGUAAGACUGGGAUAACUCCUGGGAAACCGAGGGCUAAUACCGGAUGCUUGAUUGAACCGCAUGGUUCAAUCAUAAAAGGCGGCUUCGGCUGCCGUUUACAGAUGGACCCGCGGCGCAUUAGCUAGUUGGUGAGGUAACGGCUCACCAAGGCGACGAUGCGUAGCCGACCUGAGAGGGUGAUCGGCCACACUGGGACUGAGACACGGCCCAGACUCCUACGGGAGGCAGCAGUAGGGAAUCUUCCGCAAUGGACGAAAGUCUGACGGAGCAACGCCGCGUGAGUGAUGAAGGUUUUCGGAUCGUAAAGCUCUGUUGUUAGGGAAGAACAAGUACCGUUCGAAUAGGGCGGUACCUUGACGGUACCUAACCAGAAAGCCACGGCUAACUACGUGCCAGCAGCCGCGGUAAUACGUAGGUGGCAAGCGUUGUCCGGAAUUAUUGUGCGUAAAGCGCGCGCAGGCGGUUUCUUAAGUCUGAUGUGAAAGCCCCCGGCUCAACCGG
rnacentral:rRNA from 1 species